rnacentral:rRNA from 1 species
AUGGAUCUUGCAAUAUCUGCCGUUACAAGUGACCUCGCCAGCCGAUUCAUCUCUUUCCUCAUGAAAAAAUAUGCGGACCGUCUGUACUCGGAGCAAAAGGUGGAGAGGCUACAGCAACUCUUGUUGAGUGUUCACACGGUCGUCGACGAGGCGGAUGGACGCCACAUCAUGAACUCUUGUAUGCUCAUGCAGUUGAAGCAGCUAUCGGCAACCACGUACCAAGGGUACCAUGUCUUGGACAGCAUCAGGUACAAGCAACAUAAGGAGGCAUCCAAGGACUCGGUGAGCGAUUCAUCUACGUCGUCUGAUUAUAUCAUUCCUUUCAAACAUGCUCGCACAACCAAUAGUUCUUCGGCAAACAAGGCCUCCAACUCGGGAUUACAAAGUGCACUUCAGAAUCUGGAAGCUGCUGUUACUGACAUGGUGGAGUUUGUUGUGCUCUUGAGCGGAUGCGAGCGCAUCUCCCGGAGACCGUAUGAUGCCUAUCUUCAGGUCGACAACUUCAUGUUUGGUCGGCAUGUCGAGAAGCAGAAGAUCAUCAACUUCUUGCUGCAACAGGACUUACCUGGUCCUCCGGCGGUACUACCGAUCAUUGGUGGACGUGGAGUUGGGAAGAAAACUCUUGUUGCACAUGUAUGCAGGUAUGACACGGUGCGUUCUCACUUCACAGUUAUUUUGCACCUGAGUGGAGACGAUCUUACCAGGAUGACAAACCAUGAUAUUCCGUCAGGGAAGACACUGGUAGUUGUCGAGUUUGCUUCCGAUGUAGAUGACGAUGACUGGAAUACAUUCUAUUCAUCUGUUAUAGGUAUGGAAACAAGAAGCAAAGUGAUAAUCUUAGGUCGAAAUGAAAGCUUGAAGAAACUUGGGACCGUCCAGACUAUUUCUCUGAACCGUCUAACAUUCGAGGAGUACAGGUACCUGCUCAAGACACUUGCAUUUGGAAGCGUCAAGCCGGGAGACCAUCCGCGGUUAGCGACGAUAGUGGAAGAGUUGGCUGUGGUGUUGGAAGGAUCACUCGUUUCAGCUAACUUGCUUGGAUAUGCAGUGAGAAAGAAUCUGAAUGCCCAUUUCUGGCUUAGCGCAUUGAACAAGAUCAGAAUCACAGGGAAGGUGAACAUAUCCAGGUUUGGCUGCCAUCCAAAUGGCCUUCUCGAUCAAGGCCGUCCGGUUCACUUCGGCCCUCACCACCUCUUGUCUCCUCCUGCUCCAGCUCCAUCAUGCCUUAUACCCUCUGCUAGCAGUUGGAGUAGUCUACCCAAACUGAUAUUUGGGGACUUGCUAGCAGAAGCAGGCCAUAUUGCUCCACCGAAGGGAGAUUUUAGGCUGAUCUCUUGGGAAUCAAGGCUACCACCAUACACUGUGUUUGAUCAUCUGGCUCGCUUUGUUCCAAGUUGUGUGGAUGAUAAACCUGAAGCAUCCUUGUCAGGGAGGAAGCGUCUGGGGCCAUCUGCGUAG